UUUGAGAAAGUAUUGGAAACGCCUCAUAGAAUAAAUAUGUUGUUUCCUUUAUUCACAGAACUGUGUGUUAGAUCUGUGGGAAGGAAUUACAAGACAGCU
rnacentral:snoRNA from 1 species